rnacentral:lncRNA from 1 species
GCCCAUAUCACACGCAGGACCAUGCUCUUAAGCAGGUAAGAAGGUGGCUAUCUGCAAGCCAGGAAGAGAGGCCUCACUAGCAACUGAAAAUGCUGUCUCCCUGACCUUGGACUUCUCAGCCUCCAGACCUCCUUCCAGAUAAAAUCCAGGCUCCCUAAGGGCCUCCCUGAGUACAUGGACUGCAGUUGUUGAUGGAUUUUCUGCAUGUCUGGAAGACAGAAAAAGCGUCUUGGAUCAUGGUGUGGGGUGUGAGAUUGACAGGAUCUCCGAGAGGACAGUCGCUUCCAGAGCACUUCAGAAGCCAGUGAUUUCUCAGUCCUCCACUCUUCUCCCCUUCCCUAUCUGUGGUCUCCAGUGUGAUCACCUAGAAAAAGAGCUUUGGAACCAUAUAGACCAAGCUCAAAUCCAGUUCUCUACCACUUCGCAGGUGUGGAGCCUCAAGCAAGGUACCCAGGCUCCUACAAUCCCUAAACCAGGGAUGAUGACUCCCGCAGAGUGUAUGUGAAGCUCCAGACACAUGGACCAUCUCCACCUGGCAGGAGUCAUUAUUUCUCACAAAUGACUCUCUCC